CGUUGCCCUCACGACCUGCCGCACCACCCCCCAGUACCUCGGGGUUGGUGGCGCUCGCGGCUCCGCUCAUACCGCGGCGCGGGAGUCGCUGCUCUUGACUUCUCGCUGUUCCCUGUGUCCCUCCUCCGCCCCGAGGCCUCGCGUCCUGGCCGGGGGCACCCUGAGGCAGCAAAGCCCGGCGCGGCUGAGCGACCUGCCCGGGGGCCCGGCAAGGGGCAGAUGAGGGCAGCGGUCAAAGCCAAUCCCCCCGGCCCGGCCCAGAGUCCGGGAGAGGCGCACUCGGGGCGGGCGACUUCACGGGGACGGAGGGACGGACAGACAGACAGCGCCCGAGGAGAGCAUCAGCUCAGUAAAGUUUAUACUACACGUUAAAUAGACGGCACAUGAUAAAUGAGUUUGAGCUGAGGGAAGGUUAUGCUGUAGACAGAUUAGCAUGGGCAGCACCUGACCAGGUCAGAUGCCUCCCUGACCUGUUGCUGGUGUUUCCUGAUUCAGCUUGCUGGCUCAGCCUCAGGGUGACUUACUGCUUUUGGUCUCUUCUGUACUCCUAUCUUGUCUCUGUGACCAUACAAGGAUCUAGCCUACAGUGCUACUGUGGCACAACCAGUUCUGUGGAUUUCUGACUGCUUUUGCCUUUAGACCAACAUGGCUACAGCCUCUAUCACUGAAACAUGUAAGAUAUCAUAAUUAGCCAUUUUGAAAUUAAAACUUCAUAAUUUUACCAACAAAAAGAAGCAAAAUUCAACACCCUAAGACCUGGAUACAAACACCCCUGCUCCAGCCUUUUGUCUGAGCCAAAUUUGCAUACUUGCAGAGCAGCUGCACCACAACAGAGCUGCCUUAACACAAGAGAACUGUUACAUCACCAGUCCUCCUGUACAAUAUGAAACAGCUUAGCAAGAAAGAAGCAUAAUUCAACAUCCGACUUGCUAUCAGGCACCUUUGAGGUAAAUAGACUGCUCCAACUUUUAUCUGAGCCUAAUUUGCAUAAAAUGAACUUUUUUCUCCAAGAACUUAUAUAACAACCUCCAGUUCACCUGUGCAAUAUGAAGCUUUGUUUCUACCUGGGAGAAAUUCUACAAUCUUUGCAUUCUCCUCUGCCUGAGGAAGAGUGUGAGAGCCUGAAAGCUUGCAAUUAAAGACAGUUGCAAAAAACCUAUCUAAUUGGUCCAAUAAAAGAUAUCACCUCUACCACAAGAUUUCUAAGUAAUUCGUAACACCAGAUCCUGAAGUGAUAAGUCAUCAACUCCCUUAGGACUGUGCUGAUUUAUGCCAGUUGAUAAUCUGAUUCUAAUUGCAGCAUUGUUUCCUGGCAACCUGAGGGUAACUUGUGAGCAUAUUCUCAGGGGGACGGGACUUUGUAGAUAUGUAGUAAGAGGCAGUAGUUUAAAAAUGUUUUAUGUUAUUUUGGACAUAGUGGAUUUUACAUCUCCAUUUACCACUUGUAGCAUUCCAAUCUAGAAAUCACUGUUGUGGUUCAUCCAGACUACAUCAGAACCAGACACAGGCCCACCAGGGCCAGACACAGGCAUGGGCAAACUGGACGGCUGCCUGGGGCCAGGACAGAAAUGUCUCUACACUUAAGUGCUAAGAGUUAGAAAAAUAGAAAAAAGUUCUGUUCAGAUGCCAAAAAGAAAAUCAUCAGUUGGAGGACUUAUUUACUGUCUAGAUUAGAGCCUCUGCUGUUACAGUUAAACUAGCAUACCUGCAUCAACCAGGCCUUAUGAUCUUUUCAUAUCCUUACCAGACUAAUUUAUGCUAAUGAAUAUCUGUAGUGUAAACCUAGCCUGAGUCUCCAGUAAUGGAUUCACACUAUACUCUUGCCAGCUGAACUAGCGCAAAUUAUAACAAUGUUGAUUAUCUACAGUAGUUUCCAUAUACUAGAUUCACAAACAGCCCACUUAUUAAAAGCAUUACAGAAACUUGGGAUUCUUACGUACAACACCUAAUGCACAGAAUAUGCACCAGGGGGUUGUGCUAUGGCAGUGGUUCUCAACCUUUUUAGACACUAGACUCUAGACAUCCCUUGGAAAAUGCCAGCUUUUAACUGUCCCCAACUAAGGAAAAAUAAUGGAGGAAUUGUUCUGUUACAAAGAACUCAGAAAAACCAAUAGGUCAGAAUGUUUUUGACAUUAUGGAUUCCUAUUUUAAAUCUCUGUGUUUAUGUGUGAAUGAGUUGGGUCCCAGAAAGUCAUAAAACAGCUUUAAAUCACCCCCCAUGAAAUUAUUUUAAGAAUAGUUUGGGAUUCUUUUUACUUGCUUUCUGAUUUGAGCUUUUAGGUUCACAUAAUCAAACUUGGCUGCAGCCAGAAAUUGAAAAUUGUUUAAGUUAGGUUCUCAUGUUUAAAAAGACGAGAGAGCUCAAUAAAUAUUACAAUUUAAUGUACAUGUAUAGUUUUCGUGAUAGGAAGAUGUUGAAGGGAAGGAACACACAGGCUAGGAACAGACAAUACACAUAUAUCAGUUUAAGUGAUCAGAAACCUGUAACAGAACAGAUGUUCAAUGCAUAUAAACCAGUUUGAAAAUGGCUGAAACCAGUUUGAGAUAAACCUGGUUGAACAUAGUAUCAGACUUAACUGAUUUGGGUCAAACUGGUUUAUGCAAUGUCUGUCCCAGAUCCUUUGCUGGUUUAAGCUUAACCAAACACCCCCAGCAUCCCAGCAUGCUCUCUGGGCAAGGCAGGGCUUUCUGUUCCACAGCAGGGCUGGCCCCUCUCCUAUGCUCCCUGGCUGCAGCUCCUGUACAGACUUACAGGCACAGCAGAGUCUGCUGGCUCCCCCCCCCCUCACUACUCCCUGUUUAAGCAGAGAUCCUUUCCUUCUCUCUCCCACUUGUGGCAUGCUAGUUAAUCCUGUGUAAGGCAGAUGGGACAGUGUCUGCUUAGGGAGUUUUGGAGGUAAUCAGCAGCUCAGGUGGUAAUAUCCCUGCAUUCCUUCCUUUGGAAAAAAGCUGUUUAAGAAGAGUUUGUAAUGAGCAAGGCUGUGUUUUCUGAUGGGGUGUUAAAUGCUAAUAACAGAGCUGAUAAGUGCUCUGUUACCAGGGGGAGGGGAUCUCCCUAAUCAGAGGCCUGGCCAUGCCCUCCUCAGCUCAGCCCUGGGGAAGGGAGGGCUGCUCUAGGGCCCCUCCAGCUUCUUGCCUGAGCCACUGCAGGCAUGUGCCUGCAUUUCUGGGAUGUCUGUCUGGUUACAAAACUAAGUAGCAUUGCCCAGCAAUAGCAUUUACUAAAACUAAGAAAUAGUUCUCUCUUCAGCAAAUAAUAGCUUCUGGCCUCAGUAAUACUUUGUCAUUAGUUCAUUUCCUUCAGUAACAUUUCUGCUUAAGUUUUUAUUGUAUAUGCAAAGUUCUAUUAUUUACUGGUUACAUGACUCAUUGUAUUCCAGAUAUCUUUUGAUUCUCUAUACUACCUCUGAAACGUGGAAUUCUCUUUCCUGUUGCAAGGAGCAUGGCAUCUCUCCCUGGGCUGGCUGUGCCCCCUGGUGGAAAUAUAAAUCUCUUGCCUGGAAAGGAUAGGAACUAAUGUGCAGUACUUAAGUAUUCUUUUAAUGAGAACCAGCUCAAUUAGAUAUAGGGAAGAUUUUAGCACAAGAUGUUUUAAAGUUGCUGCUGUCUAGGAAUAUACACAGAUCUACUCUUCAAAGUUGAAUAUAGAAUAGCAUGCAGAGCUUUGUACUCUACAUGAGAACGCUCAACCCUUUGUCCACUGGUCUCCACAUAGGUCUGGAAAUUUGGUGGUGGGGAAGCAGUGGCAAUUAAUAUUGCUAUUGCUUCCCCCACUGCCCAACUUCCACAUCCAAUGCAGCUGGAUUGGCCCUGGCUGGCCUGGUCUUGCAUGAAACGAUUAGGCCCCAUUCCUGUGCAGCUGUAUCAAGUAUGCACUGCAUUCUAAUUGGAACACUACAGCAUCAUACAUAUUAAACCUCCUACAUUUUAAAAUAGCAGUGGGGCACUUUAUCUAAACCUCAUCAAAUGAGGCUUAGAUAAAGUGUCCUGUGGCCAUUUUUUAAAUGUGCAGAGGCUUAAUACAUGUGACGCUGCAGCAUUUUAAUUAGAGCAGCUGCUCGGGAACUGCUCUAAGUAAAAUGCCCCCUCCCCACUCCAACCAUGUGUAUAGGCAGCCCUAGUUCCUACCUUAGCAGAUGGGAUGUAGUUGGGCUUUUGUACAUGCAUUUAAAACAAACAAACAAACAAUAAUCUUAGCCUCUGAGGGCACGUCAGACAAGUACACGUGCAGCUUGAGGUGCUACAAACCUAUCUAUGGUGCCACAAACUACACUUACCGCACACGUACGCAUUUGCUAUUCUGCUAAUUUGCAGCGCGGUGUGGUUUUUUGACACCAGGAUCUCCCGGUAUCAAAAACAACCAUGCCAGAAAAAACCAGGGCAGCGCAUGUGGCAGCAGCACGUGCCACCCAAAACCAGAGCCUAGCCAGCCAAAGCCACACUCUGGUUGCCACCCAGGCUCUGCAAGCCUUAUCACUGCUGCUACAGCCCUAGGAGGGCCCCAUGUAAGGCUGCUAGGGCCAGCCCAGGUGCUGGCCCCAGCCUCCCCUACCCUACCCUGGGCAACUUGCUGCUUGCCAGAGCAUGCCUGUAAGAGUGUUCCCCAGAGACAAGUAGCAGCAGCACAAAUAUGCUAUUUGUCCCCAGGGAAAUGUAUGUUCCCACUUGUGGUGACACACACUGGGAGUCUAAUGUGGGCAUAGUGGUUAUGAAUCCUCCAAUCCCAGCUUUCCACUGACUAGCCUUAGCAGCACACCACAUCAGCUCUUUGUUUACACUAGGUGAAACUGACCCUAAGGUGCUAGUUCUAACUUCACAAUGGUAUAUUUGGCUUUGAAAGUUCCCUUUUCAGUCACAUUGUUAAGUAGUUCUAAUUGCACAAGAAAUGGUUAUUGCUAUGAAAGAUUAUGCAUAACAGAAAACUAAAACAUUUUAGAUAUUCAAAAAAAUGUAAACACUAAGAAAAGACUUUUUUUGAAAGAAAGUUAUCAAGAUUUUAAGCCAACUAAAUUUAAGAUGUCCUAUUCAGAUAGCAAGAGUCUCUUAAAUGUUUGGCAGUCUCAUGCUAGGACAGAACAUUGGCUUUGAAUCAAAGAGUUAUUAACACAGUAAUGACUUACCUAGCUCUCAUCAGAUAAUGCCACCUCCUCCAUUUUCUUCUCUUUGAUUGGAUAGUUUAACCCACUGGCUAAGUCCCAGAAGUCCACUCUUUCCAAAAGGGCAAAAGUCUAGACAGACUUCCCUGAAUCCAUUAAUUUUGAAUUUGGUGUUGCAGGGUACAACAGUAAAAUCAACAAGCAAACCAACUGCAGAGAAAAAUACUUUCUUCAAUGCCUCCUAUAGCUAUACUGCAAACUAUAUCUAUCCUGCAAGCCAGGCAAAAAAUCUACAAAUCCUACUAACCCAGAGGAUGAUGCUUUUCAAAAUCCAUUUGUUAAAACAGAACGAACUGUGCAGGGCCUGUAAAAUCCCUAGAAGAUUCCAGUUCAGUCUGAAUCACUAUGAGCUGCUUAGCAAUAAUGGCCCAUCAAUAAGUAUUAUUGCUUGCAGAUGAUGUUUGAUUGUUACAUUAAGUUCUUACAUGCAUUCCAGAACUGCCAGUAGCUGGUGGGAGAGAUGGCUUGGCAAGUUAAAGGAUCUUGGAAUUAGAAGGAGCUAGGGAGAAGGGAAAUUGUUGACCUUAGAAAAGGAGUCACCUGCAGUUUCUGCUAGAGCAUCAUGCCCCCAACCCAUGAAAAUUACCAAGACAUACUACAUACCCCUAAACCUUCAGGCUUUCCUGUGGACAUCUGUUUGUACUGAAUAAACCUGUAAAUGAGUCCAACAGGAGCUUCAGCUGAAGGAGUGCUUGGAAAGGGUCCUGCCAGGAAGAAGGGGACCCUAGCAGUCCUGAGUCUGACCUUUGGAUGGGUUCUCCAGAGGAAGAUCAUUUCACUCCUACAUAGAUUGAUAUGGGGAGUAACCACUAACAAAGAGCUUUUCUUUUUCCAUAGCCCCUCCCUUUGAUAUUUCCCUGGGAGGUGGCAAUUUAACUCAAGAUUCUGCACCAAGGACGUUUAUAGCUCAAAAAUACAAGUUCCCACAAUACAGAACAAACACCAAGUAAAUAGCUGUGAUUAGUCUCCUCUUUUUCUAUGGCUCCAUAUAUCAUUAAAAAUAUGGCUAGAUCUGAAAUAGUGUGCCUAUAAACUUAUCUCAGGGCUCUGGUGACUUCAAAAUCACAAAUCAAAGAUGUCUUCUGAAGUAACUGAAGGGAAUUAUGGGUACCAUACAUGCUUACUUUUAUACUCCAAUAUCAAAUACACAAUGUGCUUUAACUGAUUUCAAGACAGGACUAUAAUAAUUUUGUGGAACUUACUAAAUGUAGAUUUAUAGACUGCAUCUAAACUGUCACCUGAAUUAAGAGCUGGAAUGAAAAACCAACACUUGAAAAAUUCUUAUUAAAAUCCUAUGAAUACUUGCUUGUUUUGUAUGAGUUACAGACUGUAUCCUUUGUCUUGAAAUGUUACAUGAUUGCUUUUUACAUUUACUAGCAUUGCUUUUUCUCUUUUGCUGUUUUGUAAUUAAACUUGUUUUUACAGAAAUGUUCACAGAAAAAAGGGGCAAUAUUUCAACUUUCAUGUUAUAAGAAAUACAGCCUGAAAAUAUUCUACACUAAUAACAUAUCAGUAACAGGAUUAUAAACAGGAGUCUAGGGGUUUGAAAUGUUACUACAGAGUAUAUACUUUGUUUUAGGGUGGUUAUUUGUUUUAAAUGGGAACAAACCUGCAGAUACAUAGAGGUUCAGUGAAUAUAUCUGAUAGGAAAACAGUAAAAUUCCAAAAGUGCUGUCCUGACUUACAAAAACAACUCUGAGCAAGAGUCAGUUAUUUAUGUGUUCAUAAAGCUUCCUACCUGAUCAUAAUAUUUAACACUGGCAUACAACUGUCAGCUGCAGACUUCAGGAGUGUGCACAUAUUAUUCCAUUCUGCAGGCAGGAAAACUAAGUGCAGAUUGGUAAAAUAACUUGCCUCUAAUCACGUAAUGAAUUGUCGCUAAAGGUAAGGUUAUGUAACUGUUUAAAUAAAUUAGCAAUACUCUAUUUAAAUAGCUUGCCAUCUAGUGGCCUGCUGGCAUCCUACAAAUACGAACUUACAAAUGACUUAACACUGAGUGAAAUACGUAUGCAAUAUAUAUAUUGCAGUAGUUUCCAAAAUAUCCUAGGAACUAGACAAACGCAUAGGGUCUUGCAUUUUCUCUAUCUCAAAGAGCCUGCAACCUGAGUAGCUAAAGCAACAAAACAACAUAUAGGUGAUACUUGGAGGGAUGUUAGGUAUGUAUUUUUGGCCUCCCCUCCCCCUCCCUUGUUUUUUGUAUUCGAAUUUGUCUUUCCUCCUUAUACUCUGCUUUCUGCUCAUCCUAUCACACAAGCUUGGGUUUUCCAAACCUUAUGCUACACACAUACCCACAAUCUUAUUUAGUUAGUCUGUAAAGGUGCAUAUCUACCCUGCCUUCUUUACAAAAGUAGAUCAUGCUUGGUUAACCAGAUAUCUUUCUUUGAUAAGAGACUUGUUUUUUAAGACAAAGGAAGUUUGGUAGAUCUAACCCACAGAGGGGCCAACCCACAGCAUGUGUGCCACAAGUGGCACAGGCAGCCUUUAUGUAUGGCACCUGGCAGAUUGGGUGGGGGAGGCAAGCAACAUAGUGGUAGAUAAGGCAGAAAGCAAGAGCAGCAGAUGUGGUAGGGAAUGCCAGGAAAGAAGCAGAAAACAUCAGAUUAGGUAGGUUUUUUUCUGCAGGAAGUGGAAAGGAGAGCAGCAGAUCAGGAAGGGUAAGAGGAUUGGAGUGGCAUGUGAAAAAUAUGCAGAGCUAAUUUGUGGCACACCUACCAAAAAAGUUGCCCCCCCCCCCACCAAUCUAAUCUAUCUGACUUCAGUAAAGCAUUCUGUUCAGCAUUCCAUGAGAAAUUAUGAAUUAAACCAGAGAAGAUGAGAAUUAGUACAAAAUCUGUGAUUGUAAGGAAUUGUCUGGUAGAAGAUUAAAAUGUAUCUUUGAUAUGUGUGGAAGAAAGUAAGUAGUAAAGUUUGUCAAUGAUU